UGAGCAAUCUGCCCUUCUCUUUGGAAUAAGCGUGGGAAACCGCGUCUAAUGCCGAAUACGACCUCCUUUCGCAUGAUCGGAGGUGGAAAGCUCCGGCGGAGAAGGAUGAGCUCGCGGCCUAUCAGCUAGUUGGUGUGGGUAAUGGCCCACCAAGGCGACGACGGGUAGCCGGCCUGAGAGGGUGACCGGCCACACUGGGACUGAGACACGGCCCAGACCUCCGUACGGGGA
rnacentral:rRNA from 1 species